rnacentral:rRNA from 1 species
AGCGAACGCUGGCGGCAGGCCUAACACAUGCAAGUCGAAUGAGGUCUUCGGACCUAGUGGCGGACGGGUGAGUAACACGUGGGAACGUGCCCUUUGGUACGGAAUAACUCAGGGAAACUUGAGCUAAUACCGUAUGUGCCCUUCGGGGGAAAGAUUUAUCGCCAUUGGAGCGGCCCGCGUCUGAUUAGCUAGUUGGUGAGGUAACGGCUCACCAAGGCGACGAUCAGUAGCUGGUCUGAGAGGAUGACCAGCCACAUUGGGACUGAGACACGGACCAAACUCCUACGGGAGGCAGCAGUGGGGAAUCUUGCGCAAUGGGCGAAAGCCUGACGCAGCCAUGCCGCAUGGAUGAUGAAGGUCUUAGGAUUGUAAAAUCCUUUCACCGGUGAAGAUAAUGACUGUAGCCGGAGAAGAAGCCCCGGCUAACUUCGUGCCAGCAGCCGCCGUAA